GCAGCUCUGACAGAGCGAAGCAACACCCCACUGGCCUUGAAGAAAGCAACCAGGAAAGGCUGUUUGGACUGGGGCCCAUUUCUCCCAAUGAUUCCAGCAGACUUUAUGUUGAUACUUCGGCCUGUAAAAAACAGGAGAAGGUGAGGCUGACUUCACUUGCCAUCCGCAGUCUCCACGCAGAGCUGCAGGCCCAGGUUCUGCUGCGGGUUCAUCACCCAGUGGUUACUGGUGGCCGUGAUGUCAAACACAAGCCAGCCCCCAUCGGAUGCCUGGACCUUUUUGGAGUCAAGCAGGAACGUCUCUGCAUCUCUGAAGACAGGCAGGUGGCGGGCAUAACAGUGACCACGGGAGCACCCGAGGGAGCCCCUUCCCCCCCUGUUGUGGGCCCUCAUGGUUUCAUCUGGGACGCGGCCAGCUUGGCAGGCAACACAAGACGAGUGAUAACUGAUGGACCUUCCAAGCUUCAUAAGUGGCCAACUUGCUAAUGGAGUUCUCUUUAUCCGAGAACUAUAUUUGUAAGGCAGACAUGGUGCGAAUGAAGGAGAACAGAGUUGGAGAU